UAGCCGUAAACGAUACUCGCUAGGUGUCGGCCACGGUGCGACCGUUGUCGGUGCCGUAGGGAAGCCGUGAAGCGAGCCACCUGGGAAGUACGGCCGCAAGGCUGAAACUUAAAGGAAUUGGCGGGGGAGCACAACAACGGGUGGAGCUUGCGGUUUAAUUGGAUUCAACGCCGGAAAUCUUACCGGGACCGACAGCAACAUGAAGGCCAAGCUGAAGACUUUGCCGGAUUAGCUGAGAGGAGGUGCAUGGCGUAG
rnacentral:rRNA from 1 species